rnacentral:rRNA from 1 species
GAUGAACGCUGGCGGCGUGCCUAAUACAUGCAAGUCGAGCGAAUGGAUUAAGAGCUUGCUCUUAUGAAGUUAGCGGCGGACGGGUGAGUAACACGUGGGUAACCUGCCCAUAAGACUGGGAUAACUCCGGGAAACCGGGGCUAAUACCGGAUAACAUUUUGAACCGCAUGGUUCGAAAUUGAAAGGCGGCUUCGGCUGUCACUUAUGGAUGGACCCGCGUCGCAUUAGCUAGUUGGUGAGGUAACGGCUCACCAAGGCAACGAUGCGUAGCCGCCCGGAGAGGGUGGAGGGCCACACUGGGACUGAGCAACGGCCCAGACUCCGACGGGAGGCAGCAGUAGGGAAUCUUCCGCAAUGGACGAAAGUCUGACGGAGCAACGCCGCGUGAGUGAUGAAGGCUUUCGGGUCGUAAAACUCUGUUGUUAGGGAAGAACAAGUGCUAGUUGAAUAAGCUGGCACCUUGACGGUACCUAACCAGAAAGCCACGGCUAACUACGUGCCAGCCGCCGCCGUAA